CAGACGGAAACGACUGCUAAUACCGAAUAAGUUCCAAGAGCCGCAUGGCCCAUGGAAGAAAAGGUGGCCUCUACCUGUAAGCUAUCGCCUGAAGAGGGGUUUGCGUCUGAUUAGCUGGUUGGAGGGGUAACGGCCCACCAAGGCGACGAUCAGUAGCCGGUCUGAGAGGAUGAUCGGCCACACUGGAACUGAGACACGGUCCAGACUCCUACGGGAGGCAGCAUG
rnacentral:rRNA from 1 species